rnacentral:rRNA from 1 species
CCUACGGGAGGCAGCAGUGAGGAAUAUUGGUCAAUGGACGAGAGUCUGAACCAGCCAAGUAGCGUGAAGGAUGACUGCCCUAUGGGUUGUAAACUUCUUUUAUAUGGGAAUAAAAUGUUCCACGUGUGGGAUUUUGUAUGUACCAUAUGAAUAAGGAUCGGCUAACUCCGUGCCAGCAGCCGCGGUAAUACGGAGGAUCCGCGCGUUAUCCGGAUUUAUUGGGUUUAAAGGGAGCGUAGGUGGAUUGUUAAGUCAGUUGUGAAAGUUUGCGGCUCAACCGUAAAAUUGCAGUUGAAACUGGCAGUCGUGAGUACAGUAGAGGUGGGCGGAAUUCGUGGUGUAGCGGUGAAAUGCUUAGAUAGCACGAAGAACUCCGAUUGCGAAGGCAGCUCACUGGACUGCAACUGACACUGAGGCUCGAAAGUGUGGGUAUCAAACAGGAUUAGAUACCCCAGUAGUC